rnacentral:snRNA from 1 species
UAACCUGUGCUGUAGGGGAGAUACCAUGAUCACGAAGGUGGUUUUCCCAGGGUGAGGCUCAUCCAUUGCACUGCGGGUGUGCUGACCCCUGCGAUUUCCCCAAAUGCAGGAAACUCGACUGCGUAAUUUGUGGUAGUGGGGGACUGCGUUCACGCUCUCCCCUG